rnacentral:tRNA from 1 species
GAGUAUGUAGCUCAAGUGGUAGAGCACAUGCUUAGCAUGCAUAAGAUCCUGGGUUCAAUCCCUAGUGCUUC